UACGUAGGGUGCAAGCGUUGUCCGGAAUUAUUGGGCGUAAAGAGCGUGUAGGCGGUUUGGUAGGUCCGCUGUGAAAACUCGAGGCUCAACCUCGAGACGCCGGUGGAAACCAUCAGGCUAGAGUCCGGAAGAGGAGAGUGGAAUUCCUGGUGUAGCGGUGAAAUGCGCAGAUAUCAGGAAGAACACCCGUGGCUAAGGCGGCUCUCUAGUACGUGACUGACGCUGAGACGCGAAAGCGUGGGGAGCGAACAGG
rnacentral:rRNA from 1 species